rnacentral:rRNA from 1 species
CAAUAGCGUAUAUUAAAGUUAGUUGCAGUUAAAAAGACUCGUAGUUGGACCUGUGCAUGUCCCUAGGUGUCCAUAUUGUUUGGUACGUUCUAGGGCGUGCAUCCUUGGGUGGAACCUGUGUGGCAUUAGGUUGUCGUGCAGGGGAUGCUCAUCGUUUACUGUGAAAAAUUAGAGUGUUCAAAGCAGGCUUAUGCCGUUGAAUAUAUUAGCAUGGAAUAAUAAGAUAGGACCUUGGUACUAUUUUGUUGGUUUGCGCACCGAGGUAAUGAUUAACAGGGACAGUUGGGGGUAUUCGUAUUCCAUUGUCAGAGUGAAAUUCUUGGAUUUCUGGAAGACGAACUACUGCGAAAGCAUUUACCAAGGAUGUUUUCAUUAAUCAAGAACGAAAUUAGGGGAUCGAAGAUGAUCAGAUACCAU